rnacentral:rRNA from 1 species
CUGGCUCAGGAUGAACGCUAGCGGCAGGCUUAACACAUGCAAGUCGAGGGGCAGCGAGGAGUAGCAAUACUCUGUCGGCGACCGGCGAAAGGGUGAGUAACGCGUGAGCAACAUGCCCGUGGGAGGGGGAUAGUCAUUGGAAACGAUGCGUAAUACCCCGUAACAACAGAGACCGCAUGAUCUUUGUUUGAAAGAUUUAUCGUCCACGGAUUGGCUCGCGUACCAUUAGCUAGUUGGCGGGGUAACGGCCCACCAAGGCGACGAUGGUUAGGGGUUCUGAGAGGAAGGUCCCCCACAUUGGAACUGAGACACGGUCCAGACUCCUACGGGAGGCAGCAGUGAGGAAUAUUGGACAAUGGCCGGGAGGCUGAUCCAGCCAUGCCGCGUGCCGGGAGGACGGCCCUAUGGGUUGUAAACCGCUUUUGUUGGGGAGCAAUAAGUUCUACGUGUAGGAUGAUGAGAGUACCCAGCGAAUAAGCAUCGGCUAACUCCGUGCCAGCAGCAGC